AAGGUGAAUUUUGGCCUUCAAGAAAAGGAAAGACCAAUAUGUGGCAAGAACCAAGCAUAGAGCAGUAGGCAUCACGAACUUUUGAUUAGAAACUGGUCAGACAUUCCCAGAGUGGUUGAGAGCCUGUCAAGGUCACUGCCAAGGACAAGAGAGUCAAUUAGUAUGCAGAUCAGAGCCAAGGAGUUCAAAGGAGAUGCUCAAUAAAAUCCUGAGAGCUGGAAACACUGGAAAAGCCUGAGUCUCCACAAGAGGACAAUCCAUAAAGUGAAAUUGUUAAACAGUACUGGACAAAUGAAAGCAUUAAGGGUGCAGACACUCAGAUGUAAUCAGGAAGGAGGAGAAGGUGAACUGACUCACCCAAGAUCAUGCAGAGAGUCAGUGGCAGAGCCGGCAUUUCAUACACAGCAGUUUUAACUCCCAGCCCCCUUCUGUAACUGCUGCACCAGAUUGGGUGCUAAAAUGACUAACUGCAAGGGUGAUAGCAUUCCAGAGGGAGCAAUAUUCUGGGAACGGCGCUGUCUGGCUGAGGCAGUACGAUCGGAAUGAUGGCAACAUCACUCACUCGCCUACAGGAAGUCAGGAAAGGGCUGCAUCGCUUCCAGAAAUGCUGCUUUCAGAAAUGAUAAUGUCAAAAGGAAUGGCAGCCUGUGGGGGUGCCCCCCUGGCAGUAAGGAAUGUGUUGGUGCACUACCUGAAGAGCACUAGUACGGUCUCCAGGUUAACUCUCCAGGUUAAGGCUAAAGAUAUUGAGGAGAUUCCCACAAAUGGCAGAAGAACCUCUUAUGAGACUGGGCCGGGAGGGAUGGAUUCUGGGAUUCUGCACAAUUCUUCACACUUCUCACCCUUGCAGUAGUGAGUGGACUUGACAUCUGCAAAGCAAGGAAGAGCAAAAUUGCCUGGCAGUGAGGCAGGCAUUGCUGUGCAUGGAAGCACAGGAGCACUAGGGAAAGGGAGGUAAAAGGCUCCGUGGGGCAAAGUAGCAUGAGGUGGGAUAAGGUAGAAAGUCCAAGAACUUUGUUUCUGUAGAAGUAGGACAUCUGGCCACCUAUCAGUGAUGAUUGUGAAUAAACAAGAGAAUAAACACUGGUGCCGUGCUAAUAUCUAACUGUUCAGAAACACAAAUAAAAUAACAUCAGUAUCUGGCAAAUGAAGGAGGAAAGGAAAAAUAUUGGGAAGAUGUUUUAUUUUGACUCUGUUUUGUAUUGUUCAUAACAAACAAUAGUUGUUUUUUUUAAAUAAAAACCCUAGUAACUAUAAAAAUCACUUGACAGCAUCCUUUUAAAUUUACCAGUAACAGAAUGACUGCAAAUGUGUAUCAAACAACCUGCUUUCAAAUGCAGGUAAGCUGCCAUUGAAAAGAGAUUUAAUCCUAACUGUUUAUGCCUGCUUUUGAUGACAGUGCAGUUGUGUAUUGUGUUGGUUAAUAAUGCAUUCAAGCACCUGUUUAGAGAAGGUAUAUUCUACUACAGUCCAAAAUGAAAACAACCCCAUUACUUGUAGGGGUUUCAUUCAUAAUUCUUGUAUCAUGCUCUGAUUAGAGUAUACAUUGAACCUCAGACAAGCAUUACCUAAGGCACAUUGAGUUAAAUGCACUGUAUAAACUAGGCACAAACCACAAAGCUACCUUUAACUUGCACAAAACAGCAAGUAGAAAUUGAUUAAAAUAUGCAUUCUACUAAUAUAACGGCUGGUCUCAGUAUAGAAAUUAAUUAAUGCUAAUAGUACACAAUCAAAACUGCUUUUAGAAAUCUUCUUAGAACAUUAACUAAAAUGUUCAUCUUUUUAAUGCAUUUGACUGAAUCACUGAGACUAAAAGCUUUGCUUCCUCCAUGCAAAUGUGAAAAAAAAUCACAGUCUGAAUGUUCAAGCAGUGAUUUUAUAGCAACCUCCCCCAGCCAUUUGCUUUUGGAUUCCUUGUUAACCUGAGCCUGGUCCCAGUGCCAUGUGUGAGGUUGUACUAUUAGCUACUACAGAUUGAGGUGGCAGCCCUGGGAGUCAAGGCCAAUAACAUAUGCAGAUUGAGCCACAGAGCAGAAAAGGAGAUAACUAAAUGAAAAAAGGGGAAAGGGUAUUGCAUUUAAAGAGGCAGUGCUGAUAUAUUCUGGGUGUAUAGUUCACAGUUACUCAAAACUCAAGGCAUGAAUGUUUCCAAAUCCUCCAGCUAGAUUUCUCUAACAUUGUCCUCUUCAUUCAUCAUGUUCCUGGCUUCUGGUUUUCUGCGUGUUUUGUUUUGUUGUUUACCUUUAGGCAAAGCAUAUUUUACAAUACAAAGCAUCAUAUAGACCCCAUUGUGCAUAUCAAGAACCUAAUCCUUCCACCCCAUUGGAAUCUCACAGGACAUGCUAGGUACCUAAUGCUUUCAUUUCCCAGAGGAGUGUGGGUCUUGGGAGUAUCAUAAAUUGAGAGCAGUCACUCAAACAUUUGGCAUGUCAUCUGAAUCUCACAAUAGAAAAAGCCUUACAUUUGGAGGACGUUUAAUUUAAUUGUUUGCAGCUUAAAUAUUUUUUCAAGCUUAACAUGAUUCACAGGUACUGAUUCUCUCUCUCUUUCUCACUCUUCCCUUUAA